GGGAGGGUGGUGGCGGCGCCGCGCAGCCCGCACCGGGAGCGGGGACGGGAACCGGGAGCCGGCCCCUGUGCGCGUGUUCAGGAGUAAGUGACUCUCCUGCAAGCUCGGUGAAAGCCCGCGGUAGCUACCCGGCGGGGUCAGCCCACAGCACCCGGAGCGGAGGAGGCGUGGGGACCCUCAGCUGCCCGCGGGCUCGGGGCAGCCCCCGUACGAAGUGGCAGAUGCGGCCUCAGCGAUUACUGCGAGAAGGAUAAAAAAAUAAAUCCUUGCCAAGGACUGUGGGAGGACGAACAAGUCACAGGGUAAAAGCUAUGAAGGGCUUUUCCAUGCAGUGAAUUGUGAGGGAAUGACGGAAACAAUGGGGGUUUCAGCUGACGGAGCCCGUCCCGGGACCGAGCCCCGUCUGGCCAGCCAGGGCCGCGCUCCCUGAGCCCACGGGAACGGGGACUCCACCGCCUCCCCGGGCAGCCCAUCCCGUGUCUAAUCACCUUUUCUGUGAAGAAAUUCUUCCUGAUUUCCAACCUAAGCCUCCCUUGGUGCAGAUUAACACAAUGUCCUCUCCUCCUGUCCCUAAUACGCCCUGGGGGCGUUUUGCAGGUACCAAGCCCUGCACCCACAGGGACAUGACCAGGCACGCAGAGGGCAAGGUACCCAGGGGCACGAAACUCAGAGCAAGCACUCUGCACCUAGACCUGCAAAACCUCUAGCCACUUCAGACAACACUGGCAACUGAGAAAAAAAAAAAAAUCACAUUCGUUUUCCAUCAGGCAAGUGGACCCACUGCCAGUUUCAUGUCUGACCCAAUUGACAGACUGAAUUCUGGCCACCAAAAGCAGAAAGAGCUUUUUCUGGUUAUGCUGUGUCCUUUAUGAAAAAAGAAGAUAGAGUGACUAUCAGAAUUUAAGAUGUAGAGGAAUAAUGAUGUUUUAACUAUUAUGAAG